GGCCGGUUGGCCCAAUGGCAAGGCGUCUGACUACGAUUCGUUCGUGCAAUCAGGAGAUUCUGGGUUCGACCCCCAGGCUGGUCA
rfam:Colletotrichum incanum strain MAFF 238704 contig1419, whole genome shotgun sequence.